rnacentral:rRNA from 1 species
AUACGUAGGGUGCGAGCGUUAAUCGGAAUUACUGGGCGUAAAGCGUGCGCAGGCGGUUUUGUAAGUCAGAUGUGAAAGCCCUGGGCUCAACCUGGGAACUGCAUUUGAAACUGGCGGACUAGAGUUUAGUAGAGGGGAGUGGAAUUUCAGGUGUAGCGGUGAAAUGCGUAGAUAUCUGAAGGAACACCAGUGGCGAAGGCGACUCCCUGGACUAGAACUGACGCUGAGGUACGAAAGCGUGGGUAGCAAACAGGAUUAGAUACCCUGGUAGUCCACGCCGUAAACGAUGUCGACUAGCCGUUGGUCCUAUUUACAGGAUUAGUGGCGCAGCUAACGCAUUAAGUCGACCGCCUGGGGAGUACGGCCGCAAGGUUAAA